GAUGUGGAGGUAGUGGCUGCGCUUAUGGAAGUCAUGGAGACAUUUUAUUAUGAUGAUGACAUCAAGCAAAAUAAGGUGUUUAACAUUGACUUCACCAAGUUUAAAAAGAAAGAGGGUAUGUUUGGGAAGGUGGCUGCAUUGAAAGCAAUGGAGAAUAACAAUUUCGAUCCCGGUAAGCAUGUUCUCAAAGCAAAAAAACUUAUUAUGACAUUUAUGAAAUUAUGGGCUGAUUGCAUGUUUUUUCACUUGUCUCAAAUUGUAGCUGAUUGGUGGUCAACUUAUGGAUUACAAACUCCUACAUUGCAACACAUGGCCAUAAG
rnacentral:lncRNA from 1 species